UGCACCUCACCUAAUAGUAAUUGAUGACACAUGGAUUAAUGAGUGGACAACACUUUGUCCAUUAUUUUAUCAAGCAAGAUAUAGUGGAUUCGAUCUCUAAGUCCUGUGGCCUCACUUAAUAGUUAUUGGUAUAUUUCUUAGUUAAGUCAGACCCACCAUUCACUAACAGGUGUAGAGCCGUCAUUAGAUCCUUCACCUAAUAGUUAUUGGGC
rnacentral:lncRNA from 1 species